UACAGAGGUCCCAAGCGUUGUUCGGAUUCACUGGGCGUAAAGGGUGCGUAGGUGGCGAGGUAAGUCGGAUGUGAAAGCUCGGAGCUCAACUCCGAAAUGGCAUUGGAAACUACCUUGCUUGAGGGUUGGAAGGGGGACUGGAAUUCUCGGUGUAGCAGUGAAAUGCGUAGAUAUCGAGAGGAACACCAGUGGCGAAGGCGAGUCCCUGGACAAUACCUGACACUGAGGCACGAAAGCGUGGGGAGCAAACAGG
rnacentral:rRNA from 1 species